GACGAACGCUGGCGGCGUGCUUAACACAUGCAAGUCGAACGGAAAGGCCCUGCUUUUGUGGGGUGCUCGAGUGGCGAACGGGUGAGUAACACGUGAGUAACCUGCCCUUGACUUUGGGAUAACUUCAGGAGACUGGGGCUAAUACCGGAUAGGAGCUCCUGCUGCAUGGUGGGGGUUGGAAAGUUUCGGCGGUUGGGGAUGGACUCGCGGCUUAUCAGCUUGUUGGUGGGGUAGUGGCUUACCAAGGCUUUGACGGGUAGCCGGCCUGAGAGGGUGACCGGCCACAUGGGGACUAAGAUACGGCCCAGACUCCUACGGGAGGCAGCAGUGGGGAAUAUGGCACAAUGGGCGGAAGCCUGAUGCAGCAACGCCGCGUGCGGGAUGACGGCCUUCGGGUUGUAAACCGCUUUCGCCUGUGACGAAGCGUGAGUGACGGUAAUGGGUAAAGAAGCACCGGCUAACUACGUG
rnacentral:rRNA from 1 species